GAAUCCAGUUGAAGUCAAAGCGUCACCAAAAUACUUCAAGUUGUGAAGUAAGAGAAGGGGUGUGUUAUGAAGAGGGCACAGCACUAGGAGUUGAACCGGAUAUAACAGAAAUACCUGCACCAGUUCAAACAGUGACCAAUCAGUCCAUGCCUCUAAAUUUGUCUAGAAUAUAUUUUGACAUAGAAGCUACUGGGCUUAGUAGAACAUCACACAUAUUACAAUUAUCUGCCAAAA